CUAUAGGCGAAUGAAAGUAAAAGUCCGCCCCGGACAGAGGGAGGAUGGGCCGUCCGACCGGCUCCGCACUCCCGGGGCGUCUCCGCCUCUCGGCGAGAGGGGGCGCACCUAGAGCGUACACGCUGGGACCCGAAAGAUGGUGAACUAUGCCUGGUCAGGACGAAGUCAGGGGAAACCCUGAUGGAGGUCCGUAGCGAUUCUGACGUGCAAAUCGAUCGUCGGAACUGGGUAUAGGGGCGAAAGACUAAUCGAACCAUCUAGUAGCUGGUUCCCUCCGAAGUUUCCCUCAGGAUAGCUGGCGCUCGCCGAGAGAAAGUCUCAUCUGGUAAAGCGAAUGAUUAGAGGCAUUGGGGUCGAAACGGCCUCAACCUAUUCUCAAACUUUAAAUGGGUGAGAUCUCCGGCUUGCUUAAAUGUGAAGCCGCGAG
rnacentral:rRNA from 1 species